rnacentral:tRNA from 1 species
GUUUUAAUAAUUUAAAAUAAAAUAUUGGUCUUGUAAAUCAAAAAUGGAUAAAUCCUUAAAACU